ACAUGCAGUCGAACGGUAGAGGGGGCAACCCCUUGAGAGUGGCGAACGGGUGAGUAAUGUAUCGGAACGUGCCCAGUCGUGGGGGAUAACGUAGUGAAAAUUACGCUAAUACCGCAUACGAUCUAUGGAUGAAAGCGGGGGAUCGCAAGACCUCGCGCGAUUGGAGCGGCCGAUAUCAGAUUAGGUAGUUGGUGGGGUAAAGGCUCACCAAGCCAACGAUCUGUAGCUGGUCUGAGAGGACGACCAGCCACACUGGAACUGAGACACGGUCCAGACUCCUACGGGAGGCAGCAGUGGGGAAUUUUGGACAAUGGACGCAAGUCUGAUCCAGCCAUUCCGCGUGCAGGACGAAGGCCUUCGGGUUGUAAACUGCUUUUGUACGGAACGAAAAAGCUCUUAUUAAUACUAGGAGUCCAUGACGGUACCGUAAGAAUAAGCACCGGCUAACUACGUGCCAGCAGCCGCGGUAAUACGUAGGGUGCAAGCGUUAAUCGGAAUUACUGGGCGUAAAGCGUGCGCAGGCGGUUAUAUAAGACAGAUGUGAAAUCCCCGAGCUUAACUUGGGAACUGCAUUUGUGACUGUAUAGCUAGAGUACGGCAGAGGGGGAUGGAAUUCCCGCGUGUAGCAGUGAAAUGCGUAGAUAUGCGGAGGAACACCGAUGGCGAAGGCAAUCCCCUGGGCCUGUACUGACGCUCAUGCACGAAAGCGUGGGGAGCAAACAGGAUUAGAUACCCUGGUAGUCCACGCCCUAAACGAUGUCAACUGGUUGUUGGGUCUUCACUGACUCAGUAACGAAGCUAACGCGUGAAGUUGACCGCCUGGGGAGUACGGCCGCAAGGUUGAAACUCAAGGAAUUGACGGGGACCCGCACAGCGGUGGAUGAUGUGGUUUAAUUCGAUGCAACGCGAAAACCUUACCCACCUUUGACAUGU
rnacentral:rRNA from 1 species